rnacentral:rRNA from 1 species
UACAGAGGUCCCGAGCGUUGUUCGGAUUCAUUGGGCGUAAAGGGUGCGUAGGCGGCGGGGCAAGUCUGAUGUGAAAUCCCGGGGCUCAACCCCCGGAACUGCAUUGGAUACUGCCUUGCUCGAGUACUGGAGAGGGAACUGGAAUUUACGGUGUAGCAGUGAAAUGCGUAGAGAUCGUAAGGAAGGCCAGUGGCGAAGGCGAGUUCCUGGACAGUUACUGACGCUGAGGCACGAAGGCCAGGGGAGCAAACGGG